rnacentral:lncRNA from 1 species
AAAAAGGAAAACAAGUGGUUUUGGAUUCAGAGUCAAUGUUAAUAUUCUUUUCACUGUGUUUUAUUCUUUUCUUUUUCAAUUGCUUAGUUUUUCUUUGAUAUUCUCUUCUUUUUUUUUCAACUGAGUGUUCUUCCUUCGGUGAGUGCUUCUUUUGAACCAUCGACUAUAUUUUGUUUUCUCAAAUUUUUGAUGGUCAUUUUUCU